rnacentral:rRNA from 1 species
AGAACGAACGCUGGCGGCAUGCCUAAUACAUGCAAGUCGAACGAACUCUUCGGAGUUAGUGGCGCACGGGUGCGUAACGCGUGGGAAUCUGCCCCUUGGUUCGGAAUAACAGUUGGAAACGACUGCUAAUACCGGAUGAUGACGAAAGUCCAAAGAUUUAUCGCCAAGGGAUGAGCCCGCGUAGGAUUAGCUAGUUGGUGAGGUAAAGGCUCACCAAGGCAACGAUCCUUAGCUGGUCUGAGAGGAUGAUCAGCCACACUGGGACUGAGACACGGCCCAGACUCCUACGGGAGGCAGCAGUAGGGAACAUUGGACAAUGGGACGAAAGCCUGAUCCAGCAAUGCCGCGUGAGUGAUGAAGGCCUUAGGGUUGUAAAGCUCUUUACCCGAGAUGAUAAUGACAGUAUCGGAAGAAUAAGCCCCGGACUAACCUCCGUGCCAGCAGCCGC